AUUAAACGUUGGCGGCAUGCCUUACACAUGCAAGUCGAACGGCAGCACGGGGGCAACCCUGGUGGCGAGUGGCGAACGGGUGAGUAAAGCAUCGGAACGUGCCCUGGAGUGGGGGAUAACGUAGCGAAAGUUACGCUAAUACCGCAUAUUCUGUGAGCAGGAAAGCAGGGGAUCGCAAGACCUUGCGCUCUGGGAGCGGCCGAUGUCGGAUUAGCUAGUUGGUGGGGUAAAGGCCUACCAAGGCGACGAUCCGUAGCGGGUCUGAGAGGAUGAUCCGCCACACUGGGACUGAGACACGGCCCAGACUCCUACGGGAGGCAGCAGUGGGGAAUUUUGGACAAUGGGCGAAAGCCUGAUCCAGCCAUGCCGCGUGAGUGAAGAAGGCCU
rnacentral:rRNA from 1 species